CGCGGCAGCCCCCCCGCUUCCGCCUGCGCGCGGGGUUGGACCAGCAGCCCGCGCAGGCGCAGCAGGGGCUGGAGCCGGCCCUGCCCGGGCUCAGUGCGGCGCGCGGGAUGUGGCCGUGCCCGCGGGCGGUUGUACAGCCCUGAAGGGAAGGAAAGAAGGCGCUGUUGUCCUGGGGAGGGGGGUAGUUGCUUUGAUGCAGAAAAGCCCGCCUGGGCCUGGCUCCAAGCUCCUGGGGGAAGCCGGUGUGAUCCUCACGGGCCUGGCAGGGAGGGGCAGGGCAGUGUUCCCAUUGCAUAGGCAGGGAAGACUGAUGUGGUUUGCCUCUUGCCCCUGGUUGCGCCCACGCCGCAGGCUAUGCAAGUGCCAGGCAGAAGCGCCACCAGCACCCGGCCGCCUGCUGGUUAUAAGAAAAUACCCAGAGAUUGCUGGCAGGGGAAAUGCCCGUGCCACGAAGAUGGCGGGGGAAGGACCCUGCCCGAGGUUAUGCAGUGAAAACGGCACUGGGUCAUGGAGGGGCGCAGCCUUGUCUGCUUGCGAACAAGACUCCCUCCGACAGCCUCGUAGUAAGCUUCCUGCUCAGGUGGGGGAGGAUCUGGGCUAUGUGACACCUUGAUGGAAAUGGGAGACUGCUCCUUAGCUUGCUCCAUGUGGCCAAGGGCAAGCCCAACUCGAGGGCAUCUGAACCGCAAGCUUCCAGGCUCGGGCCUGCAAGCGGGAUGCCCAGCUAAUGAUUUGGAAGCACCGGGUGGGUGUGGAGGGUGUUUGUCGGUUGUAGAGCCAUGUUUGGUUCUUGAACGCGUCACAGAUUUGGAAUGGAUUUGGCUAGUUUGACUUGGACGUGAAAAAAUUUCCUUAAAAGUUAACAUCUAAAGAUUUCUGAUACUUUAAAGGCUGAUACUGUAGCAAGUUGGGGCAGAGCCCAGUUUUGAUCAUCAGAGUUUUGUAGGAUCCAGUCAAGAAGAUCCAGCUUCAUUUUUUUCAUUUGUAGAGUCGUAAAGACGGGGAUGAACACAGACAAGCUGAGGAAGUCUAUAACUGGGGAAUUGCCAAAGGAAGUGGUUUGAGUAGCGAAAGUUGUGUUAGAGAAGACAUGGAGUGAGUUGCAGAGUUGGUGAUGCUGAAAAAGAGUAUAAAUGAGGAGAAAACAUCUAGUCUACCUGUUUCAGAAUGCAUCAAUUCACCACAAAAGUCUUUCCCUUCUCCAAAGUCUUGUUGGAAAAAAAAGAUCUCCCUCCAUUAAUUUGCUUCUUCCUCCUAAAUGAUCUGAUACCUCUUAUCACGGAGCACUGAAAAAUAAAGAUGGCUGUGAGAAACAAGGUGGGGAGACAUACUGAAAGUUUUGAAUACCCAGAGCAGAGGUCUCUUGAAAAUGUUGCAGCUACUCAAAGUCACAGAAUCAGAAAUGCAUUGUAAUCCUACUUUGAGGUGAGAGGGCAUUUGUGAAUAAUGUAUAUGCUUUUGUUUCAGUUUUUAAUUAUUAUUGCUGCACAUGCCUUAUGCAUAUGUGUACUGUUGCAAAGAUUUUACGGUCCUUCAUGUGUGCAUUUUAUCAUAGUGCCUGUGGGAAUCUUAGUACGCUUUAUGUGUAGACUUUACUACAGCGCACAUGUGGAGUUUAAUAUAGUGCUGUGUGGAUUUUAUGACACUAAAGGUCGGGAUUUUAAUGAAUUGUGCAGACUCAAAACCAUGAAUGUCAAGACAUUUUUGAUGAUUGUUAAUAAAUAACAAUUAAUACACCAAGUUAAAUGUUGUGAGCAUUACAAAAAUGGGAUAUGCAUAUUUUGUUCGAAGUUAAUAUCCAGUAAAUUACUAAAAAUCAAAUGAACUAUUACAUGAGUUAGUGUUUUCAGUGUUAUAAAUAUGUGCACAUAUGGGGGUCAAAAUGUGGGGUAGAGAUAGGGAUCUUGGGAAGCAAGGGGUGAGGGACUCUCCAUGGGUGUGUCCAUAUUGUCCUAGUGGGACUCUCCAUGAUUGUGUCCUAGUGGGUGACAUAGAAGUGCAGCAUGCACUCCCCAUGCAUGCUAAACCCCAAAAGUUUUUAAUGCAGCUCCCCCAAGUCUCACACUAGGCACAUAAGCUCUGUCAUAAGCUCUCUGUUGUAUAUGUGUUUACUGGUGUAUGCCCAGUGCUGCACUAAGAGUGGCUGUAUUACUUCCAUGUUCUUUCAUGUGGCUAAAUUCAUGCCAUGUCUCAAUAAACUUGCUUCUAAAGUAAGUUCAAUAAUGCAUGUUAAAAUGCCGAAUGAUUCACAAGAAAAAAAUCUUGUUUAUGAACACUAGAAACUUUAAUGCAAAAUAACUCAUGUUGCUCUAAAAUGAAAUUCAAAUUUAGACAAGCUCAUAGGAAACAUGAAAAUGUAUAUCCUGAAAGGGUCAGAAGAAUACUGAAACUGAUUGUACUCAUGAGUCUGACAAAAAUACAAAAAUCCUAGGCAAAUCCAUGGCAAAAAGAAGCCUGAAGGACGAUAAGCAGGAACCUCUGAGUCAUAAUGAAGAUAAAACUUGUAUUUUUAACAAGCUGUAUUUUUAGGAGAAAGACAUCAGGAUGAACUAAUGAGGAACUGCUUAGUGCCCUAUAUUUGCAGAUCUCAUUUUAGAAGUUGCUAAUUUUUGUUCUAAUCUUAUGUCACCCUCUGCAGUUGUACUGAUUUUUGUCUGUCAUUUUCAUCUGUAAACUGACACUGAUUUAGACGUGGAAAAGAAACAUCAAUAUAAUUUCACACGACUUAAUUUAACUAAUUGUUUAAUAAUGUAAACAAAAAUGACUGUGCCAUAGAUUACCAAAUUACAUUUUCACUUUCAAUAAUAUAGUGUUUACAUUUUUGAAUGAUACAAAUGUGAUUCCUAAUUCUAAAGAUACUGAUUCUAAAGAUAUUUUUACUACUGCUGUCCAAUAUGUUUGUUUGCUUGUUUUUUACUCUUUUACGUUCCAGUCAAAACCAUUUCUUCCCAGAUUUUUGCUUGUUUUUUCUUUUCUUUUUUUUAAAAGUAUAUCCUGUCCAUUCCUCAGUACAAUCUUUUCAUGUUGCUACUAAUUUGCUUUGAUCUCUAGUUUGGAACUGAUGAGCUACAGCUUCCUGAUUGCUGAGCUUUGCCAACAGUGCUCCAAAGAUGUUAUUUUGUCAAGAAGAAUCCUAGAACUUGGGCAAAAUAAAAUCAAACCAGCAGUGGUCCCCACUGAAAAAAAUAAUGUAUUUUUAUAUGAUGUGUUUUGAGAGAAUAAGAUUAUAGCAAGUAAUCUUUGAAGUGCUUCUAAAAGUGUGCCUGCACAUCUAAUUUAUAUAGGGCCUGAUCCAUGCACAGGGCAUGAUUCUAGCAUGUAAUGCAAUAGUAUACCCUUUUCCCCACAUUCUUCUCCAUGUCUCCAUAGGUCUGUAAGACAGGCUGGGGAUGAAAAAUGCUAUGGGGUUGCAUAAACUAUCCCCCUACUAGUCUUUGAAGCACCUCAAAAAAGGAAAAUACAUAAUUACAAAUUAAUGCCUGCCCUCUGUAGUGGGAAAUUCCUAUGUGAGAGUGUGGAAAGGCAUGCCAGGGCAACCAUCAAUAUGAGAAGUCCCGUUAGUGUGUUUUCAGAAGGUCUGUUGUGGGAUGAGGUAGAAACUAGGGUCUCAGAGCCAGUUUGAAAGUAGAAAAUUUAUUAGGAAUGGGGCAUGGGGCAUACCAGGGUGGUAAAUUUAUGCCUCCAUAUGCAGAAAUUCAGGAGGAAGUCCAUGCAGAGAUUUUCUUUUUUUUAUUUGGCAAUUGGUAUCAAUUAAAUUAUAUAGUCGCUGGUUAGGAGAGCUAGCACAACAUUAUGCUUUAAAAACGCCUGCUCCCUUCAGAAACAGCUGAACCAUUCUCUUGAAUUUAACUGCUGCUUGAAUUCUCAAGUGUAUUUCAGGGAAUAUUAUAUAUGUAAAUAUGCCAAUUGUGCCAUAGUAUCAUCAUACUAACUUAUGGCCAGAUUUGAAGCCCUUACCCAAGGCAAAAUGCCAUUAAAGUCAGAGCGAGCUUGACCUGAGUGAGGACUCCAGGAUUUGGUCUGUAUAUUUUUAUUUUUGUGCAUUUACAUUUUUUUUUUUAAAAGUCAUAGUAAAAUAAUACUCUGACUGGGAUUUAUGAGAGAGAGUGAAUAAUGAAUUCAUUGUGGUAAGGGAGUAGUCUCUUGAAGCAUAUUCUCAUAUACUGUAUUAAUCUAACAUUUGAAUUCUUACAUGGAUGGGAUGUUUUAAAAAAUUAUUAAAGCACAUUCAUAAUAUUUUUGUUAUCUGGGAUGCAGUGAGACAUUUGGAAUAAAGACAUUUUUUUAAGUUGUGGUGAUCUAGCAGUUACAGCAAUGGAUGAACAGCUAACGGAAGGCUGAGAUCUAAUCUGACCUUACUCAUUGAUUCACUCUCAAACCUUGGGUAAGCCUCUUGACCUCUUUGUGCCUGAGUCAACUCAGCUGGAAAAUUGGGUAAAGAGAAGGGCCUGUUGGAAAACCAUCUUCAAUUUUUCGUAAGAUUUCCUAGACACCUAAAAAGUGAGUGUAGUCAUUUUGCAAAGAUGUAAUUGAUAGUGGACUGCACAGCAAUAACAUCUUGAGCUGUGGGAUACAAUUGGUGACAUCUCAUUCAUUGUUCAGGAUCCAGGUGGUCUAUGCUUUCACUGUGAUUAGUCCCCAUUUCUGUGUUUGAUGCUUUAUUUUCAUUUUUGUAGCCUUAGUCUUGCUGUACCUGGCCUUGUCAGGAACAUGGGCCAAGCACUGCAUGACUCUGAGAUGGAACUCUGAGGUAAUUAUAGUUCCUGUUGAUUUUAGUGGUUACUGAACUAGAUUAUUCUUCCCUAGAUUUAUUAUAACCAAAGGUGGCAUCAAUUGCUGUUGUAUCAAUACAAGCUAAAAAAUAGAAUUCAUUAUUGCCUCCAGCAUCCACCUGAUGCUUUUUUUCAGAGCCCUUUUUUUCCAAUGUGGGUUUAUAUUGGCAGCAUGUAGCCAGACUGAGCUAUAAUUAAGUAGACAUAGGUUCACUCUCUUCUUUCCAUAAUAUUUCUUGCCUCACAACUCUUAAAAUUAAACAUAAAUAUGAGAAAUAUAUGUAUUCAAACAAAACUGGACUCCUUCACUUCACAUGCUUGCAGAGGUGAUGCAGCUAGUGCUUGUUGAUUGGUAUCUGUAGAUACACUCAGCAGCAAUGUGAUCUUUUUAUCUAGUCCUGCAGAGUAGCCACUGCUGCUGGUGUAGCAGCCACCAAGUUCAGUCAGGUAAUGUCAGAGACAUAUGGAUCAAAGCCCAGGGCAUUUAAAUAGCAUGUGGGUAACUACUCGAAAUUGGCAACAUGUGAUCAGCCCCAAGCACAGAGUUGCAUCCUCUCCUGAUUUUGGUACUGUUUGUACUGGGGAAAGGCAAGUUGCUUGUGCCAGCGUGACCCUGGAUCUACUAAUCUAUUCUGCAUAACCCAAGUUGGAAAAAUGACCAUUUCCUUUUCCCAGUUCCCUUAUCUGCUAUUAGUUUUCCUGUCUUUGCCUUCCCAAGAUUUAGAAAGAAAUUCAGGAAUGCAGAAUGCUAUUCAAUCUAGGUUGAUCUGAGUGGCAUACACCUGACAGUGUCUGAAGAAUAUAGUUUAUGAGAACCUGCCACAUGUUAUUCACCCUCUAAUUCACAUGCAGCCUUUCAUACAUUUGUAAAAUAGCAAAGCGUUAAUAAGACCCUUCAAAUUCACAGGAAUCUUAUUUGAGUAGGUUAUCUUAGGCAGCUCCUACUGUUGCAGUAGUAGCAGGAAGGUCAAGGGACUUCUAAGUUAAAUAAUCUGCCCAUUAAAUGAAGAAAUGUUCAUCCAAAUUUCUGUCUGUGUGGAUAAGAAGAGAAGAAGAGUUAUAGGUAGUUCCAUCAGAUUGAAGGCCUCAGUAUUCAUGAACUCAGGUGCUCAUUACCCCAGGUUCCAUUGGGAUAUGAACCGUGGGACUUUUCCCCAUCUAUAUCGAAGAGUAGGAUCCUGAAAUUGUGCCAAUUAAAAUAAGUCAAAGAACUGCUACAUCAUUUCCAUGAAGCAUGGCAAAUCCUAACAGCAUUAUAAUGCAAACAUCUCAAAAGAUCACUUACAAUAGAUUAAAUGAGGCUAAAAUAACAGUUUGUUCACUCUGAAGCCAUCAUUUUGCCCCAGUUAAUAACAAAUUCCAGUUUCAUUGGAUUCUGCGUGCUUUUCUGCUCCAGAACUGAAAAUGCUAACUUUCUCUAGUAUGUAAGAUUUACAGGUAAAAAUAAUUGACUUUAAUAAAGGAACCUUGUCUUGACUUUAAUAAAGCUUUUGACAAACAACAAAACAGACAUAUAAAUGCACAAAUACCAUUGAAGACAAAGAAAUGAUGCAAAGGAUCUAGUUAGGCUAAAAGUAUGAAUAAGAAAUAAUAACAUGGAUUUUUAACUUGAAAAGACACAAUUUUCCGAGGUAAACCACAUGGAUCCAGUUAAAGGGGACAAAAGGUUUAUGUGGUAGAGAAAUCUAAAAAGAAGUAAUGCCAGAAGACACAUUGGAGUACUAAUGGAUUUAUAUUAGACACGAGUUGGCAGUGUCAUAUGGCAACAAAAACUGAUGGAAUGUUGGAAUGCGUAUGUACAGGCAUUGGGUGAAAUCCAACUGGGAGACUUUCCACUGAGUUCAUUAGGACCAUGAUUUCGCCCUUCAUUUCACAAAGCAAGGAGCUUGUGGUAGCACCUCAAGCUAUGAUCAUAUUAAAUCAUACUUAGAGAUUUUGCUCAGUUUUGGGCAUCUUGCUAUGACAAAGAUGUAGGCAACCUUUAGAGUGUCCAGAAAACAGCAAAAGGAAGUUGGGUGUCUUAAUAAGAAAGAUUAAAGAAUUUACCUAUAGAAUAGCUAUAUAAUCAGGGAGAGAUACAGUAACUGUCCAGAAAUAUUUGAAUCACCAAGGAAGUGUAAUAGCUCUAAUGGGAUGAAAUUAAGAGAAGAGAAAGAAAAUAUAAAGUGACUAUCAGUGACAAGAAAGACAGUGAAAAGUUAAAUUUAUUUCUUAAAGCUUUAGCUACCGAUUACUAGUUAGUGGGAAUUUGGUGCCACGAUGAGAGGUCAGAAUGUAAGCAUAAUGGUGCACAGAAAUAAAUGUGAAAAGUUUCCAGGCUUGAGUGCAGCAACUUAUAUGCAUUUUCAGUAUAGCCACAAAAGGAAGCACUAUGUAACUCCUUCCUCUGUGAUACGCAUCUCUGUGUAGGCAUCUCCGAAAAUAUAUCAUCUAAUUUUCAAAUUAUAUGUAUAGAAAACUCAAAGUAAUCUGCUAGCCAUUAUCACUCCUCAGUUUCUCCUGCUUUUUACUUCUUUCCAGAUUUCCACUUAUCAUUCAGAACCUUUGUUUCAGAUUAUUUGUCCCUAGAUAUAUUUGCAUGUAUUUUUCCAAGUUAAAUCUCAGCAUUGCCAGCAUUCUGUAAGAGGCUAUACAUUCCACUUUGAAAUACUCUCUGAUCAUUGAGGUCAUAAACCCUAGCUAUCGUAGCAACAUAGAAGUCAAAGAUGAAAAGUCCUAUUAGGUCAUCUAGUCCAUCUUCCUGCCAUUACAUGGGUAUGACCAGUUCAUGUUGUAAUGACAGCCUUCCUUUGUCAAAAAGGAGUCAUAAUGGUAUCUUUGAACAGCUCUCUUUGGACCCAAACUCAGUCUUUGCUGCUCUAGACGGAUAAGAUUUCUCUUUCAUGUCAGUGUGCCAUCAGAAAAGGAAAAUUCAACACACUGAUGGAAUGACUCAGCCAUUGUUCGUGGAAGAUUCUGCAUAGUUUCAAAAGAUAUUACAUGUCCAUGCAUCAAAGUGAGUUAACAAGAGCAAAGAAAGUCCUGGCUAAUUCUUUCAAUGUAAAUACUCUGUCAAU